UGGGGAAUAUUGCACAAUGGGCGCAAGCCUGAUGCAGCAACGCCGCGUGAACGAUGAAGGUCUUCGGAUCGUAAAGUUCUGUUGCAGGGGAAGAUAAUGACGGUACCCUGUGAGGAAGCCCCGGCUAACUACGUGCUAGCAGCCGCGGUAAUACGUAGGGGGCUAGCGUUAUCCGGAUUUACUGGGCGUAAAGGGUGCGUAGGUGGUCCUUCAAGUCGGUGGUUAAAGGCUACGGCUCAACCGUAGUAAGCCGCCGAAACUGGAGGACUUGAGUGCAGGAGAGGAAAGUGGAAUUCCCAGUGUAGCGGUGAAAUGCGUAGAUAUUGGGAGGAACACCAGUAGCGAAGGCGGCUUUCUGGACUGCAACUGACACUGAGGCACGAAAGCGUGGGUAGCAAACAGG
rnacentral:rRNA from 1 species